GAUGAAGGACGUAGCGAAAUGCGAUAAGUAGUGUGAAUUGCAGAAUUCAGUGAAUCAUCGAAUCUUUGAACGCACAUUGCGCCCCAUGGUAUUCCGUGGGGCAUGCCUGUUCGAGCGUCAUUUACCCCCUCAAGCUCCGCUUGGUGUUGGGCGUCUGUCCCGCUUCGCGCGCGGACUCGCCCCAAAGGUAUUGGCAGCGGUCGUGCCAGCUUCUCGCGCAGCACAUUGCGCUUCUCGAGGCACCGGUGGGCCCGCGUCCAUCAAGCUCACCCCCCCAGUUUGACCUCGGAUCAGGUAGGGAUACCCGCUGAACUUAAGCAUAUCAAUAAGCGGAGGA
rnacentral:misc_RNA from 1 species